rnacentral:rRNA from 1 species
GACGAACCGUGCGAACGUUGUUCGGAAUCACUGGGCUUAAAGGGCGCGUAGGCGGAUCAGCAAGUCUGGGUUGAAAUCCUUCGGCUUAACCGAAGAACUGGCCUGGAUACUGCUGAUCUCGAGGGAGGCAGGGGCAGUUGGAACUUCCGGUGGAGCGGUGAAAUGCGUUGAUAUCGGAAGGAACGCCGGUGGCGAAAGCGAACUGCUGGACCUCUUCUGACGCUGAGGCGAGAAAGCCAGGGGAGCAAACGGG